UACGUAGGGUGCGAGCGUUAAUCGGAAUUACUGGGCGUAAAGUGUGCGCAGGCGGCCGCGCAAGUCGAGUGUGAAAUCCCCCGAGCUUAACUUGGGAAUUGCGCUCGAAACUACGUGGCUGGAGUGUGGCAGAGGAAGGUGGAAUUCCACGUGUAGCGGUGAAAUGCGUAGAUAUGUGGAGGAACACCGAUGGCGAAGGGCAGCCUUCUGGGCCAACACUGACGCUCAUGCACGAAAGCGUGGGGAGCAAACAGG
rnacentral:rRNA from 1 species